rnacentral:tRNA from 1 species
UGGCUCAGUUAGUAGAGCAAGGUGUUUGCAACGCCAGGGUUGUGGAUUCGAUUCCCAC